UACAGAGGGGGCAAGCGUUAUUCGGAAUUAUUGGGCGUAAAGGGCGCGUAGGCGGCCAUUCAAGUGACGGGUGAAAGCCCUCGGCUUAACCGAGGAACUGCCUGUCAGACUGGAUGGCUUGAGACCGGGAGAGGUGAGUGGAAUUCCCAGUGUAGCGGUGAAAUGCGUAGAUAUCUGGAGGAACACCGGUGGCGAAGGCGGCUCACUGGUCCGGUACUGACGCUGAGGUGCGAAAGCGUGGGGAGCAAACAGG
rnacentral:rRNA from 1 species